CCCUUAGAUGUUCUGGGCCGCACGCGCGCUACACUGAUGCAUUAAACGAGUUUCUUCCUGGUCCGAGAGGAAUGGGUAACCUUUUGAAAGUGCAUCGUGAUAGGGAUAGACUAUUGCAAUUAUUGGUCUUCAACGAGGAAUUCCUAGUAGACGUAGUUCAUCAGACUGCAUCGAUUACGUCCCUGCCCUUUGUACACACCGCCCGUCGCUCCUACCGAUUGAAUGCUCAGGUUAGCCAUUCGGACUUUCAUCAUGCUGGUUUCCAGUUUUGAUGAAGGAAAGUCUUGCGAACCUUAUCAUUUAGAGGAAGGAGAAGUCGUAACA
rnacentral:rRNA from 1 species